rnacentral:rRNA from 1 species
GAUGAACGCUAGCGGCAGGCUUAAUACAUGCAAGUCGUGGGGCAGCGCGGGUAGCAAUACCUGGCGGCGACCGGCAAACGGGUGCGGAACACGUACGCAACCUUCCUUUAACUGGAGAAUAGCCCCGAGAAAUCGGGAUUAAUACUCCGUAACAUAAUGAUGAGGCAUCUCUUUAUUAUUAUAGCUCCGGCGGUUAAAGAUGGGCGUGCGACUGAUUAGAUAGUUGGCGGGGAACGGCCCACCAAGUCUGCGAUCAGUAACUGGUGUGAGAGCACGACCAGUCACACGGGCGACUGAGACACGGGCCCGGACUCCUACGGGAGGCAGCAGUAAGGAAUAUUGGUC